AACUCCCCUUUUUCAAUGAAAUCUGCAGCUAAAACCGCAAACAUAAUUGACAAUGCUGCAGAUUUGGAAAUUCGCAAUACAGGUCAAUUUCUGCAAAGAAACAAUCCGCAAUGUGUACAUGAGAUUUUUGUAAUCUCAUACAAUUUGCUGGU